rnacentral:rRNA from 1 species
CCCUUAGAUGUCCUGGGCCCCACGCGCGUUACACUGAUGCAUUCAACGAGCUUAUAACCUUGGCCGAGAGGCCUGGGCAAUCUUGUUAACGUGCAUCGUGAUAGGGAUAGAUUAUUGAAAUUAUUAAUCUUGAACGAGGAAUUCCUAGUAAACGCAGAUCAUCAAUCUGCAUUGAUUACGUCCCUGCCCUUUGUACACACCGCCCGUCGCACCUACCGAUUGGAUGGUCCGGUGAAGCCUCGGGAUUGUGGUUCUUGCCGCUUUAUUGUGGCGUGACCGCGAGAACUUGUCUAAACCUUAUCAUCUAGAGGAAGGUGAAGUCGUAACA